CUCAACCUCUUAGUGGUGUGACUGGAGCUGUCUCUUAUUAUUAUGUCAUAAACUAACAUGGCUCCCACUCUGUGGCUUGUACAUGCUUUGCCCCGUGCAAAUGCCAAAUUCUAAAGUACAAGUAUGAUAUUUGUAUAGCUUGUACUCAAUGAGGUAUACAAUAUAUCGGACUGUGGGAAGUACUCAGGUUGUAUUCAAUCAGAUAUACAAUAUAUCGGAAUGUGGGAAGUAUUUUUUUGCACCAAACAAAAGGAAAAACCGGUGAUGUUGCGUUUGCUCAUGUGCAUAGACGGGUUUGUUUAAAUUUCUACUUCAGCUUUAUAUUUUAUAUUUAUUUGUGCUGAUACAUGAGCACACUUUGUUGGUUUUUAAGGUGAGUAUGUUGAAGUUUCUAAUCUUUUAUUGUGCUUUAUAGUAUUUUAGCGAGUUAAUAGGUGCGCAGGAAUUAAAUUCGUCUUCUGAUGAGAAAAAGUUGUGCUUUGUGACCCCCGAUAAGUGUUGUUGAUGUUCGAGGUUAAAGAACUGAUGCAUUACUUUUUGCGUCUUUUGUGAGUUGCAUGAAGGAAGCUUCAAACAAAGUGUAGUUGUAUCAAAUAUAGAAGUUUCUGUGAAACCUCUUUUCUAAGUUCUUGUCAUUGCAGUUGUAUCAAAGAUUAUAAGUUUCUGUGAAGCCUCUUUUCUAAGUUCAUGUCAUUGCUAAAAUUUAUGUCAAAGGGUAGAGAUUGAAAGGCAUGUGAAUUGAUAAAGAAAAGAAUUCAGCAUACAGAGUUUGGAGUUAUGUGAACCAGCCUGUGUCGGUUGAAAUUUUCAUAAUGAUAUUCUUGAAAUCAAGCAGCUGAAGAGUAUACAACUGUAAGCCUUUGUCAUUCCUUUUUUCCUAUUUGGGAGAAACAUGUUUAAUUUGAUUCAUUUCUUAAUCAUAAUAUGAAAAAUUCAAGCAUGCAUUUGUUCAUCAUGUGAAAAUCCAAGCAUGCAAUGUCUUGGAAGAUUGUUGAUAGGCUUCAAAUAUAGAGACUUAAUGUGAAUCCUACUUGUGUGCUUUGUCAAGCUGCACCUGCAUGAAUCAAGAGUCACUUCUUUGGGGAAUGUGCAUUUGCUAAGUACUUGUGAGCCAGGCUACUAAUUGAUGCAGAUACGAGUUGUUACUGCUACAUGGAACCAACACUUCUACUGGAUCAUACAACAUGUUAGGGGGAAGACAAAAAUAGCAAAGACCAAUCAAAUUGACCUUUGCAGAAUUCAUUAAUGCACUGUGGAGAGAGAGAAACUAUAGAAUAUUCGAUAAUACAGCAAGAGACCGUGAAAGACUUGCAAGAGAGAUAGUGUGCAUAUGCAAUUUUAGUGUUAUGGGGAUCUGAAAUUAGCUACUGCAGAAGCUUAUUUUCUACUUAAUUUGUUUAGCUCUUUUUUCUGCUGUAAAGUUAAAUUCAGGAGCUUAGAUACCAGCUUUUGUAUAGGACGCGGAGUUGGAGUUAUCCGAACUUGCUAUGUUUUUGUAUUUGUUCAUUUGGUGAUUAAUUAAAACGUUUAAUUACCAACAUAAACUAACCCAAUAAGUGUAAUUGUGUCUUAUUAGAUGAUAAUCCGUUUUAUAUUUUAAGGAUUUAAUAAAGUUUGAUUUGGAUA